AUGCCAAAGUGAACGCAGAAACGAUCGGAAAGUGAUUCUACAGCACCAAAAGCCCAACAUGAACCACAGUGCCCCUGCUCAUCAUGAACAAGUUAAAUACCUUAGGGUGUGCCUCAAUAGUUAAAUGCUGGAGAUGAGCUAAAUCAACCAGCUUACCUGAUCUGUUGACCAAAUUGAUCAAUGACCCAUCAACAUAGUUGGCACGCAAUUAAAAGGGUUAGUCUUCCAUGAAGGUCAAAAUGUGCUUCCAUCAAUAACAACAACAAAAAGAAAGUAAUGGAAGUUGAGGCAGCUGACCAAGUAUUCUUCCAAUUGUGCUACACUGAGGCCAAGCCGUCCUUGCAUCAAAUUGCUUCGGAAGCUUUAAAGAUUUUGUAUAAGUUUUUGUAGGAAUAUCCAUCACCUCAUUGUGAGGCAUUGGUUUCACCCCAAGAAUAUGCUUGAACUGACCAAUCUACAAAAGAAAAAUGAAAAAGGGAAAGUAAUUAAUUAGGCACAUAUGGUCAGAAGUAAUUAAUCAAAUCUGAAUGAUUGAAAUUAGGUCUGGAGCCUCACUGUAUAAUUUUCGAAACGGGAGUUCAUGGAAGCUUUCCAUCCAGCAUUAGGGUUAGCAUUAAUCUUUUGAAUAAUUGAAUUCUGUGCCAUGUAA
rnacentral:lncRNA from 1 species